CUUGCAGUUUGAAUUUAUAUUUUAUUAUUUUGAAAUACAAAAAUUUAAAAACAUUUCAAAAUACACCAGUACAUGUUUGUUGUAAAAAUUUCACCUAGGAGGAUAUAAAAUAGAAAAGCCGAAUAUUCCUUCUAACUCUCCCCUCUACCUCAAUUCCCUUCAGAGGUAACACAGCAAAAAAAAACUGGGGAAAAGCAAACAACUUUCCAGACCUCUACUAUUCUAAAACACAAAGAGCAUUACAGCUUGCUAUGCAUUUUUUUUUUUGGGGGGGGGGGGUUGUUUUUUAGAGACGGAGUCUCCCUCUGUCACCCAGGCUGGAAUGCAGUGGUGUGAUCUCGGCUCACUGCAACCUCCACCUCCCCAGUUCAAGCGAUUCUCCUGCCUCAGCCUGCCGAGUAGCUGGGAUUACAGGCACGCGCCACCACGCCCAGCUAAUUUUUGUAGUUUUAGUAGAGACAGCGUUUCGCCACAUUGGCCAGGUUGGUCUCAAACUCCUGACCUCAGGUGAUCCGCCCUACUCAGCCUCCCAAAGUGCUGGGAUUACAGGCGCGAGUCACUGCGCCCAGCUGCUAUACAUUGUUAAACCUUUUGCUUUCUAGUUAAUAUGUCUUAGAGAUCACUGCAUGACCACAGUGCAGCAUCGCUUCAUUCUUUCCAACAGUUGCAUAAGAUCCUGUAGUAUGGAUGUGCUACACUUUAACAGUGCUGCUGUACACAUCCUGUUGUGCACACCCUUGUGCCCAGGUGCACAGUUCUGUUAAAUAGAAAGAUAUGAACAGGUUGAUGCCUCUAUAUAUGAUGCUACAUUGCCUUAAAGCCCUCUCUAGGGCUUUAAAAAGUUUUCGGAACCGUAUCUUUAACAGAGCGGACAAAUCCAGUAAGAUGACAGUUCAUGACAUCCUUGGUGGGCGGCUGGAUAGGCACACAUCUUCACUGGGCUUGGAAUGGAGCCUUUCCUGCAGGCAGUGAGGAACAUGGCAAUUCUGUUCCUGAAGGUCCACAGGCAACUUGACCCAGUUAAGUACCACUGGCCUUGGAAACAAGUAGAUGCGGGGAAAGGCGAAAGUGAGGCCGACUCCACGGACCACUGCCUAUGAUGGGGCAGUCAUUGCGCAGUUUGGGAAACCAGCAGGAGGAACUCAGGAGUGGAUGACUUUAGGGGUAAAAGGUAUAGAAGAAGCAUGAACGAAUGUGUGAAUUUGUUGAAAGAAAAUGAUGUCUUUGAAUUUCCACAAGAAUGUUGCAAUUUCAUUUUUAAAUUUCGUAACAAAGGACCAGGCUUAGCUAAUAGUAUAACUAACAUUUAGGCCUGUGAAUACUCCCAAGCUAUGAGGGGACCCUUCAGUCAAAUAUUCACUGAGCAUGUGAGGGCCAGGCCCUGGGAGCUUACUUUUCAAAAGUGUACCAUAAACCAGCUGCCAAGCGAGAAGCUCCCCUGCUCCUGCCUGACAUCCCCGCUUGUAAUGCUGGCCUGGGUCCUGCCUGUCCACUGGUCACUCGAGUCACCAUUCUCCAGCUCCCCACAGACCAGCCUGGGCCCACCUCCUUGCCCUACUGCCUUAGGCUACUCCAACCUAGUAGUAACAGUUUUUGGGGUUUUUUUUUUUUUGAGACAGGGUCUUGUUCUGCUACCCAGGCUGGAGUGCAGUGGCAUGAUCAUAGCUCACCACAGCCUUGACC
rnacentral:lncRNA from 10 species